UUGCAAUACACGAAAGUGUGACAGGGCUAUCCCGAGUGCCAUCCGCUGAGGAAGGCUUUUACCCAGUCUAGAACGCUGGGGGAAUAAGGAGAGGGCAAGUCUGGUGUCAGCCGCCGCGGUAAUACCAGCUCUCCGAGUGGUGUGGAUGUUUAUUGGGCCUAAAGCAUCCGUAGCUGGCUGAGUUAGUCCCUUGUUAAAUCCACCGAAUUAAUCGUUGGAUUGCGGGGGAUACUGCUCGGCUAGGGGACGAGAGAGGCAGACGGUAUUUCUGGGGUAGGGGUGAAAUCCUAUAAUCCCAGGAGGACCACCAGUGGCGAAGGCUGUCUGCUAGAACGCGCCCGACGGUGAGGGAUGAAAGCUGGGGGAGCGAACCGG
rnacentral:rRNA from 1 species